rnacentral:rRNA from 1 species
GAUGAACGCUGGCGGCGUGCCUAAUACAUGCAAGUCGAGCGAACAGACGAGGAGCUUGCUCCUCUGACGUUAGCGGCGGACGGGUGAGUAACACGUGGAUAACCUACCUAUAAGACUGGGAUAACUUCGGGAAACCGGAGCUAAUACCGGAUAAUAUAUUGAACCGCAUGGUUCAAUAGUGAAAGACGGUUUUGCUGUCACUUAUAGAUGGAUCCGCGCCGCAUUAGCUAGUUGGUAAGGUAACGGCUUACCAAGGCGACGAUGCGUAGCCGACCUGAGAGGGUGACCGGCCACACUGGAACGGAGACCCGGUCCAGACUCCUACGGGAGGCAGCAGUAGGGAAUCUUCCGCAAUGGGCGAAGGCCUGACGGAGCAACGCCGCGUGAGUGAUGAAGGUCUUCGGAUCGUAAAACUCUGUUAUUAGGGAAGAACAAAUGUGUAAGUAACUAUGCCCGUCUUGACGGUACCUAAACAGAAAGCCACGGCUAACUAG